rnacentral:rRNA from 1 species
GAUGAACGCUGGCGGCGUGCCUAAUACAUGCAAGUCGAGCGAACGGACGAGAAGCUUGCUUCUCUGAUGUUAGCGGCGGACGGGUGAGUAACACGUUGAUAACCUACCUAUAAGACUGGGAUAACUUCGGGAAACCGGAGCUAAUACCGGAUAAUAUCUUGAACCGCAUGGUUCAAAAGUGAAAUCCGGUCUUGCUGUUACUUAUAGAUGGAUCCGCGCUGCAUUAGCUAGUUGGUAAGGUAACGGCUUACCAAGGCAACGAUGCGUAGCCGACCUGAGAGAGUGAUCGCCCACACGGGAACGGAGACACGGUCCAGACUCCUACGGGAGGCAGCAGUAGGGAAUCUUCCGCAAUGGGCGAAAGCAUGACGGAGCAACGCCGCGUGAGUGAUGAAGGUCUUCGGAUCGUAAAACUCUGUUAUUAGGGAAGAACAGAUGUGUAAGUAACUGUGCACUUCUUGACGGUACCUAAUCAGAAAGCCACGGCUAACUACGUG